UACGGAGGGGGCUAGCGUUGUUCGGAUUUACUGGGCGUAAAGCGCACGUAGGCGGUGUGCAUAGUCAGAGGUGAAAGCCCGGGGCUCAACCCCGGAACUGCCUUUGAUACUUGCAUGCUAGAAUCCGUGAGAGGGUAGUGGAAUUCCUAGUGUAGAGGUGAAAUUCGUAGAUAUUAGGAAGAACACCAGUGGCGAAGGCGACUACCUGGCACGGCAUUGACGCUGAUGUGCGAAAGCGUGGGGAGCGAACAGG
rnacentral:rRNA from 1 species